UACGUAGGGUGCGAGCGUUAAUCGGAAUUACUGGGCGUAAAGCGUGCGCAGGCGGUUAUGUAAGACAGGUGUGAAAUCCCUGGGCUCAACCCAGGAACUGCGUCCGAUACUGGAAGGCUUGAAUCCGGGAGAGGGAUGCGGAAUUCCAGGUGUAGCGGUGAAAUGCGUAGAUAUCUGGAGGAACACCGGUGGCGAAGGCGGCAUCCUGGACCGGUAUUGACGCUGAGGCGCGAAAGCCAGGGGAGCAAACGGG
rnacentral:rRNA from 1 species